UAUGAUAUUUUUUACUCCAUUUAACAUUGGAAGUUGUUGGUUAUUUUGUAAUGCUAAGGUUACUUGACAGUUUAACAAGUAACUACUUGUGUUUUAAACUUAAUUAGUAUAAGAAGCCUCUGCAUUAUGCUGAUUGUUAAUCUUUCUAGUUUUAAAGUAAACACAUGCAAGAAUAUCAAUUUUUGUCUGUUCCUUUUAGUCUGUUGGAUUUGUAAGUUUGCUUUCAUAUCUUUAUAUGUUGUAUUAGAUUAUUUGUAAUCCAGGGGCUGUUGGCUACAGAUUACAUACUAAUGUUGUUUGGAUAGUUGUUGUACACAAAAUUUUUUGUAAAUUAGACUGGUGUGUAUCCUGUUCGCUAUAAAUGUCGAAAAAGAUUUAAAUCACAUACCAUUUUUACCAACUGCUAAAGCGGAGGAGUUUGUCAGGUUUCUUCCGUCUUAGUUCC
rnacentral:lncRNA from 1 species